UACGUAGGGGGCAAGCGUUGUCCGGAUUUAUUGGGCGUAAAGAGCGUGUAGGCGGCCAUUCAGGUCAGCUGUGAAAACUCGAGGCUCAACCUCGAGACGUCGGUUGAAACCGUUUGGCUAGAGUCCGGAAGAGGAGAGUGGAAUUCCCGGUGUAGCGGUGAAAUGCGCAGAUAUCGGGAAGAACACCCGUGGCGAAGGCGGCUCUCUGGGACGGUACUGACGCUGAGACGGCGAAAAGCGUGGGGGAGCGAAACAGG
rnacentral:rRNA from 1 species